rnacentral:miRNA from 2 species
CCAAAAUUGUUAGUGCCAAAU